rnacentral:rRNA from 1 species
UAGGGAAUCUUCCGCAAUGGGCGAAAGCCUGACGGAGCAACGCCGCGUGAGUGAAGAAGGAUUUCGGUUCGUAAAGCUCUGUUGUUAGGGAAGAAUGAUUGUGUAGUAACUAUACACAGUAGAGACGGUACCUAACCAGGAAGCCACGGCUAACUACGUGCCAGCAGCCGCGGUAAUACGUAGGUGGCAAGCGUUGUCCGGAAUUAUUGGGCGUAAAGCGCGCGCAGGUGGUUUAAUAAGUCUGAUGUGAAAGCCCACGGCUCAACCGUGGAGGGUCAUUGGAAACUGUUAAACUUGAGUGCAGGAGAGAAAAGUGGAAUUCCUAGUGUAGCGGUGAAAUGCGUAGAGAUUAGGAGGAACACCAGUGGCGAAGGCGGCUUUUUGGCCUGUAACUGACACUGAGGCGCGAAAGCGUGGGGAGCAAACAGGAUUAGAUACCCUGGUAGUCCACGCCGUAAACGAUGAGUGCUAAGUGUUGGUCUCAUAAGAGAUCAGUGCUGCAGCUAACGCAUUAAGCACUCCGCCUGGGGAGUACGACCGCAAGGUUG